AACGAACGCUGGCGGCGUGCCUAACACAUGCAAGUCGAACGGGAAAACCCGCAAGGGUGAGUACAGUGGCGCACGGGUGCGUAACACGUGGGUAAUCUGCCCAGAAGCCCGGAAUAACUCCCCGAAAGGGGUGCUAAUGCCGGAUGAGACCACGGGGACUUCGGUUCCUGGGGGAAAAGGUGGCCUCUGUAUACAAGCUAUCACUUCUGGAGGAGCCCGCGGCCCAGCAGCUAGUUGGCGGGGUAAUGGCCCACCAAGGCUACGACGGGUAGCUGGUCUGAGAGGACGAUCAGCCACACUGGAACUGAGACACGGUCCAGGCUCCUACGGGAGGCAGCAGUGGGGAAUCUUGCGCAAUGGGCGAAAGCCUGACGCAGCAACGCCGCGUGUGUGAUGAAGGUCUUCGGAUCGUAAAGCACUGUCGGGAGGGACGAAUAAGGGCCGGGUGAACAAUCCGGUUCGACGACGGUACCUCCAGAGGAAGCACCGGCUAACUCUGUGCCAGCCGCCGCUGUAAGAC
rnacentral:rRNA from 1 species